rnacentral:rRNA from 2 species
AAAUUUGAAAUCUGGCGUCUUCGACGUCCGAGUUGUAAUUUGUAGAGGAUGCUUCUGAGUGGCCACCGACCUAAGUUCCUUGGAACAGGACGUCAUAGAGGGUGAGAAUCCCGUAUGCGGUCGGAAAGGCGCUCUAUACGUAGCUCCUUCGACGAGUCGAGUUGUUUGGGAAUGCAGCUCUAAAUGGGAGGUAAAUUUCUUCUAAAGCUAAAUAUUGGCCAGAGACCGAUAGCGCACAAGUAGAGUGAUCGAAAGAUGAAAAGCACUUUGGAAAGAGAGUUAAAAAGCACGUGAAAUUGUUAAAAGGGAAGGGAUUGCAACCAGACUUGCUCGCGGUGUUCCGCCGGUCUUCUGACCGGUCUACUCGCCGCGUUGCAGGCCAGCAUCGUCUGGUGCCGCUGGAUAAGACUUGAGGAAUGUAGCUCCCUCGGGAGUGUUAUAGCCUCUUGUGAUGCAGCGAGCGCCGGGCGAGGUCCGCGCUUCGGCUAGGAUGCUGGCGUAAUGGUCGUAAUCCGCCCGUCUUGAAACACGGACCAAGGAGUCUAACAUCUAUGCGAGUGUUCGGGUGUCAAACCCCUACGCGUAAUGAAAGUGAACGGAGGUGAGAACCGCAAGGUGCAUCAUCGACCGAUCCUGAUGUCUUCGGAUGGAUUUGAGUAAGAGCAUAGCUGUUGGGACCCGAAAGAUGGUGAACUAUGCCUGAAUAGGGUGAAGCCAGAGGAAACUCUGG